UGUUGUAAAUAAUGUAUAAAUCACGCCUGUCACUCUGGAGGAAGCGGGCUCGCGCGAGCUGGGGACGGAGAGGUUUUCUCUAGCCCCGGCUUGGGCACCGGCCCAGUGCGCCCCCUCCUCUUGCAAUCGGCUUCGGCAGUGGUUGGGGAGGGCUGGGUAGAGGCGAAUGGGGGCCCCAGGAGCUGCUGCCUUCCUUUCGAUGUUAUAGUUGGAGGUAGGAAUAUGGCUGAUCAUGUGCUGGCUGUUUUACAGUAUUCCCCCCCCACCUUAGCCACACCCCCUGUCCAGGCGCUUUCCCAUUCACGGAAUUCGAGUACAGUAAAAGCCAUCAGGAUGACACACGCGAAAAACAUUUAAUUAAAGGCGAUUUCCAAAGAGUAACCAUGCCGAACUGCCGUUUCAGCGGGAGGGGGGCAGCGAGGGCUGGGACGAAAGGGAAGGGGAUGAGGGCUGGGGGUCCGGACCUGCCGCUAAGCUCGGUGAUAUUCAUGAUGGCCUGUGUCAUUCAGUUCCAUCUUUCCAACACAAUGAAAGAGAAAAAAGAAAGGCAGGAAGCAACAUGGGAAGUAGGAACGAAGCGGAAAAAAACCACAGCGAAUCUUUAAUUUAACAAGGCUUUCAGGGACUUCAGGGAGCCAUGAGCGUUGUGACAUAACUGUUGUUAAAAACCCUUUUUCAGAGUCUCGUUAUUAUAUGUGCAUGCCGGCAGCUUACAUAUUUUACUUUAGUUAUCCACACAUGGCUGUGGACCACGCGGUUGGUUUGGAACACCAGUGCUGAAGGUUGAAGGCUUUUAGGGCCGGCAGACCUAAGGGAAAAAUCGAAACCGAAAGAUGGAUUAACAGUGAAAAGCUCAGUUGGGUUGAGAUCGAACACCCUGGAAGCUCAGCUUAGAUGGACUUAAAAUCCCUUAACAGGGCCUGUAGCUUAUGUGUAGCCCUGAGGACUUCUGGAAUCACGUAAGUCUUUGACUUUGAAAGUGCGUGGCCUCUCUUGCCCCCUUCAGUUUUGGCUGAUUCACUUUCUAGUAGGUGCUCUUACCUAGCAAUUUAGCGCCCUUUCUAAAGAUUGAUUCU